rnacentral:rRNA from 1 species
UGCAAGUCGAACGGCAGCACGGGAGCAAUCCUGGUGGCGAGUGGCGAACGGGUGAGUAAUACAUCGGAACGUGCCCAAUUGUGGGGGAUAGCCCGGCGAAAGCCGGAUUAAUACCGCAUAAGACCUGAGGGUGAAAGCGGGGGACCUGCAAGGGCCUCGCGCGAUUGGAGCGGCCGAUGUCAGAUUAGCUAGUUGGUGGGGUAAGAGCCUACCAAGGCGACGAUCUGUAGCUGGUCUGAGAGGACGACCAGCCACACUGGGACUGAGACACGGCCCAGACUCCUACGGGAGGCAGCAGUGGGGAAUUUUGGACAAUGGGCGCAAGCCUGAUCCAGCCAUGCCGCGUGUGGGAAGAAGGCCUUCGGGUUGUAAACCACUUUUGUCAGGGAAGAAACGGUCUGGACUAAUAAUCUGGGCUAAUGACGGUACCUGAAGAAUAAGCACCGGCUAACUACGUGCCAGCAGCCGCGGUAAUACGUAGGGUGCAAGCGUUAAUCGGAAUUACUGGGCGUAAAGCGUGCGCAGGCGGCUUUGCAAGACAGAUGUGAAAUCCCCGGGCUCAACCUGGGAACUGCAUUUGUGAUUGCAUGGCUAGAGUACGGUAGAGGGGGAUGGAAUUCCGCGUGUAGCAGUGAAAUGCGUAGAUAUGCGGAGGAACACCGAUGGCGAAGGCAAUCCCCUGGACCUGUACUGACGCUCAUGCACGAAAGCGUGGGGAGCAAACAGGAUUAGAAUACCCUGGUAGUCCACGCCCUAAACGAUGUCAACUGGUUGUUGGACGGCUUGCUGUUCAGUAACGAAGCUAACGCGUGAAGUUGACCGCCUGGGGAGUACGGCCGCAAGGUUGAAACUCAAAGGAAUUGACGGGCACCCGCACAAGCGGUGGAUGAUGUGGUUUAAUUCGAUGCAACGCGAAAACCUUACCUACCCUUGACAUGUC